GACGAACGCUGGCGGCGUGCUUAACACAUGCAAGUCGAACGGAAAGGCCCUGCUUUUGUGGGGUGCUCGAGUGGCGAACGGGUGAGUAACACGUGAGUAACCUGCCCUUGACUUUGGGAUAACUUCAGGAAACUGGGGCUAAUACCGGAUAGGAGCUCCUGCUGCAUGGUGGGGGUUGGAAAGUUUCGGCGGUUGGGGAUGGACUCGCGGCUUAUCAGCUUGUUGGUGGGGUAGUGGCUUACCAAGGCUUUGACGGGUAGCCGACCUGCGAGGGUGACCGGCCACAUUGGGACUGAGAUACGGCCCAGACUCCUACGGGAGGCAGCAGUGGGGAAUAUUGCACAAUGGUCGGAAGCCGGAUGCAGCAACGCCGCGUGCGGGAUGACGGCCUUCGGGUUGUAAACCGCUUUCGCCUGUGACGAAGCGUGAGUGACGGUAAUGGGUAAAGAAGCACCGGCUAACUACGUG
rnacentral:rRNA from 1 species